rnacentral:lncRNA from 1 species
AUCUCAAUUCUGAGUUAUAAAAAAAAAGACGGCCGGGCAUGAUGGCUCACGCCUGUAAUCCCAGCACUUUGGGAGGCCGAGGUGGGUGGAUCAUGAGGUCAGGAGAUCGAGAACAUCCUGGCCAACAUGGUGAAACCCUGUCUCUAUUAAAAAUCCAAAAAUUAGCUGGGUGUGGUGGUGCAUGACUAUGGUCCCAGCUACUCAGGAGGCUGAGGCAGGAGAAUCACUUGAACCCGGGGGGUGGAGGUUGCAGUGAGCUGAGAUCGCGCCACUGCACUCCAGCCUGGUGACAGAAUGAGACUCCGUCUCAAAAAAAAAAAAAAAAAAAAAAAAAAAAAAAAAAAAAAAAAAAAGAAAGGAAGAAAGAAAAAUGACAAAGACAGUAUUUAAGUACAAUGUGUGCUAAUAUUAUCUUAGUUUUGUCCUUAGAAACAGCACAUGCCUGGGGAAGUUAUGGAGGUUAUGCAAUCAGCAAACUUAGAAAUGUGUUGCUUAACUUCAAAAUUGCGUGGUGGGAAACGUUUCUUGGAGGCCUGAUUUUUUCUAACCAGUUUAUACAAAUGACAACUGCGGUCCCAUCCACUCCAAUCUGUGGAUUUGGUGAACAUGAACAUCUAUCCUUUAAGCAUGACAUGAAUUUUGUUAAAUAUGGAAUGUUUUCCAGAGCUCACUCACCAACGGUAAUAUAAACCACUCUCAGCCCAUAUCCUUCUUUAACAUUCCGGACUAUUGGAGGAAUUCUUGACUUCAACAUGUUUCUGGACCCCACUCCUGAAAAUGUCCAGCAAUACACAGAGAUGAGUACAGUACUGUAAAUAAUGCUCACGUUCCCAUUGCCCUUGUUCUCAUGAGGGAGAAGCAAUUCGUGAGUCUAUAAAUUACCCAUCCUUCAGCCCUCUAAUCUCAAGGUUAAUUGUGCCUACAUUAAGGCCAAAACUCCUGACUUGAUUGUAACUUUAUUAAAUAAGGGUUUUAAAUCCUGUUGGAAUAAUUUAGCCAGAAUUUACCUGAAAUAAAAUUAUACCUUCAAAAAGUAUUCUAGACUUCUAGACUGAAGUAUUUUUUCCCCUCUAGUCAGAGCCACA